UUGGAGGGCAAGUCUGGUGCCAGCAGCCGCGGUAAUUCCAGCUCCAAUAGCGUAUAUUAAAGUUGUUGCAGUUAAAAAGCUCGUAGUUGAAUUUCGGGGUUAGUAGGUUGGUCAUGCCUCUGGUAUGUACUGGUCUCACUGAUUCCUCCUUCCUGAUGAGCCGUAAUGCCAUUAAUUUGGUGUUGCGGGGAAUUUGGACUGUUACUUUGAAAAAAUUAGAGUGUUUAAAGCAAGCUAACGCUUGAAUACAUUAGCAUGGAAUAAUGAAAUAGGACGUUCGAUCCUAUUUUGUUGGUUUCUAGGAUUGACGUAAUGAUUAAUAGGGAUAGUUGGGGGCAUUAGUAUUCAAUUGUCAGAGGUGAAAUUCUUGGAUUUAUUGAAGACUAACUACUGCGAAAGCAUUUGCCAAGGAUGUUUUCAUUAAUCAAGAACGAAAGUUAGGGGAUCGAAGACGAUCAGACACCGUCGUAGUCUUAACCAUAAACUAUGCCGACUAGGGAUCGGACGAUGUUAAUUUUUUAAUGACUCGUUCGGCGCCUUACGGGAAAC
rnacentral:rRNA from 1 species